AGUGAAAUUGCCAGGUCACAUGGUAACUGUUUAUCUUUUUGAGGGACUGUCAAGGAGUUUUCCAAAAUGGAUGUACCAUUUUACAUUAUCACCAGCAAU
rnacentral:pre_miRNA from 1 species